rnacentral:tRNA from 1 species
GGCUUCUUGGCUCAGUUGGCUAAAGCCCUGGCUGAAGUAAAGCCUUCCCCUCGCUGGCGUGGGUUCGAAUCCCGCCGAGGCCA